GCAGCACCCAGCAGGAUUAGAGACUGCCUGCCAAGUGCACAGAGAGAGACGUGGGUUCUGAUUCCCGGGGAGCUCAGGCCUGGGGAAUGGCCCCUAAGGCAGCUGAGACUGGGAUGUGGCUCUACUCCAGGCCUUCUCAUCAGGCCAGCUUCAUCCCUCCUCAGCCUUCAUCUCUGAGGUGGCUGCAUUUCCACCAAGCAGAGGCACCCCGAUCCAGCCUUCAGGAAAUUAUUGCUUGGGGUUGGGGGCAGUA
rnacentral:lncRNA from 1 species